CCUUUCCUAACUGUUGAAACUCUGGUCGACUACAUCGCACCUCCUCUGUCUGUAUCAUUCUCACUUGUUAAUUGUGAACACUCAGAGGCAGCAGGAGUUUGGCUGUGACCGCAGACGUCGACAAACAACUGACAACCUUUCAAUAAACUGAGAAAAAAGAUGUCUUUUCCCGGGAAUAUCGUUUACUUUGACCUUGAAACAACAGGACUGAACACGCAAGUGUGUGAGAUCGUUCAACUGGCUGCUGUCUGUGGAGAGAGGAUCUUCAAUGUCUACAUCCUCCCUACAUGUGCCAUCAAUCCAAAAGCCUCUGAGAUCACAGGCUUUACUGUUAGCGGUGGUUUUCUGUACCGCAACGGGGUUGUGGUUCCCACCGUUUCGCUCUUCGAUGCUCUUAAGUCAUUCGUAACGUUCCUUCACUCCUUGCAGCGCCCUCUGCUGCUGGCAGCCCAUUAUGCACGGGGUUUUGACAUACCGAUACUUACCAGAGUCAUGAAUCAGCACAACCUCUUACAGCCGUUAAGAAUGGUUGUAUCUCAAUAUCUGGAUACUUUAGAACUUAGCAGGGCUCUCUAUCCCGAGCUGCCACGCUACUCACUGCAAUAUUUGGUUGAGGUUUUCUUGAAAAGGCAACAUGACGCCCAUAAUGCUGUGGAAGAUGCGAGGUUCCUGCAGGCGCUCAUCCAGUACAUGAGUCCUUCAAAGUUUAACACCUCCCAGUUUAUUUAUGAAUUGUAAUACAAAAUGUAUUAGCUGCAGAAGAAAACGGUGGAAAAAUAUGAAUAAAAAAAGUAAAUAAUGUCGGUUAAUCGUGAUGUUUUUGACACGGUUUUAAUGUGACUCAAAUUUUGUAAUUAUUCCACUUCAUUGUGACACACAGUAACAAAACCAACAGGUUAAAUGUAUUGGCAUGCCAAAUAAAAGAUAAUAAAUAAUAUAGGUGCAUAAAGUUUUAUUUUUUCAGCAAAACUGUGUCAGUUUGCGGAUUCCGAACGAAAACAAACAACGCAAUUUAUUCUGUCCGAAAAAAAAUAACACGGAAACAAUGACUAUCAAGUAAAAUGGAAGGACUGGCUCAUGUUUAAUUGUAUUAUUGAUCUGAAAAAGUAAAAAAAAAAAAAGAUGCGACGGAACAUUUUCCAAAUGUAUUUAAUCACAUCUCUAAGUUUCAUUACGUACGCCAUCUUGUAUAUCGUUGAACUGAGCUGUUAUUUUGAAAGGCUCGGAUUUCCGGUGGAAAUGGCUUAAAAUUCGUGGAGGGAAAUUUCCGUACUUGUUUCACGUCGACUCAAACGCACGUCCGUGAGGUUAACGCCAAAGAAAAACCACUCGGACUUAUUGUGAUGGACAUUAGAAUGUUUGUGCCGUAGUCAUUGGCCUUGGACUCUUCUGAUGUGGCGUGAUGCAGCAAUCAGAAUCAGACGCAGAGAUUUCUGAACAUUCGCUGGUUUUCUUUGACCUGGAAACGACUGGACUGGUGUUGUCUGUUCAGGUCAGAGUUCUGACAUUGUCCAGCUGGCUGCAGUGAGUGGAGGCCACUCGCUCAAUCUCUACGUCAUCCCUCGGACUCGAAUGCAUAAGGGAGCAUCGAAAGUGACUGGUUUUAAGGUUCGCAGACAGAGGCUGUUUCUCCAUCGCCAGUGUGUGCUUACCAACUCCCUGCGUGAGGUCCUGGUGUCUUUCAUUGCUUUCCUUCGAAUGCUCAGACGCCCGCUUGUGAUUGGCCACAACAGUCGUCGUUUUGACUGCCGUUUGCUGGCUCGAGCUCUUGAUGAACUGGACCUCAGGGCACUUUUUGAGUCAUCCAUUUCAGGCUGUGUUGAUACACUUCCACUUGCCCGUGAGUUGCUGAAAGACCGCAGCCUACACAGUUUUCGACAGCAGAAUCUGGUGAGUGAGCUGUUGGGUGUGGACUACAGAGCCCAUGAUGCUUUAGAAGAUGUGCGGGCAUUGCAGGCUCUCUAUGAGGUGCUUCAGCCAACACCCGAGGUACUUAGGAGACACAUCUUUACAUUGGACACCAUUGAAAGCAAUGUGGCUGUGACUGCUGCCAAAAGUGAAUCACCCUGUAUGAUGCCAGGUCAGCGCCCUCUGUGGGAGCACUUUAAAGAAACGGUGAAAGUAACGGAGAACAACAAUAGAGAAGAAUUCACUGGCAUCCUUUACAAACCUUCACUGGAAUCUGCAACCUAAAACAUGUUGGAAUACUCCUUGACCUCUUGUAUUUUCUGCUGUUAAAUCUUUAGACACCUAUAGUAAAUUAACCUUUAAUAAAUUGUGACCUUCACAAGAUGCAGCUUCUGCUAAUUUGUUGUUCGUGUGUACAAAAAUAAUAUAAUUAUUUUGUUUUGGAAGUUUUAUUUAAGUUUAAUAAAUGUGCUAAAAACCA